CCUUGGUUAGCUCAGUUGGUAGAGCGCUCCACUGGAUAUAGAGAGGUCUCUGGUUUGAUACAAGGACCAUGGC
rnacentral:tRNA from 1 species